rnacentral:rRNA from 1 species
GAUCAUGGCUCAGGACGAACGCUGGCGGCACGCUUAACACAUGCAAGUCGAACGGUGAAGAGAAGCUUGCUUCUCGGAUCAGUGGCGGACGGGUGAGUAACACGUGAGCAACCUGCCUUUAAGAGGGGGAUAACGUUUGGAAACGAACGCUAAUACCGCAUAACAUAGAAGAUUCGCAUGUUUCUUCUAUCAAAGAUUUAUCGCUUAAAGAUGGGCUCGCGUCUGAUUAGCUGGUUGGUG